UUGAGACGCAAAACUUAAAAUACCAUUAUUGUAAAUGUUAGUUUAUGGCUCAUGUGAACAACAUCGCUUUUAAUAACUAUGUAUUCUGUGUCUGGCUUCUGCAGAAUGUGCAAACAUUUUAUGUGUUCUUUUCUUUCUUCUCUUGUCUUUCUGCAUGAUUUAAAGUUAAAAUAGCUUUCUGCACCUUUGGUUCGCUGCUCGCUUUCUGUGGUAAAACAUGUGCUUCACUUCGCUCUUUCUGCACCAAGUGUUAGGGACACUAUUGCGUUUUUUAGCUUCACACUUUAAAAAUGUAUGGGUUUCACUUUACCGCACAUUUCUAUGGAUUUCCUUGGUAGUCAACCCAUUUUUCUUAAUCAACUCUGGUGUCAUCGUCUCCUACUUAGUAGCUGGCUUCCCAUUCUUGGGAUCAUUGUUCAUAUAUGCUUUAGCAUAGCAAAAAGCCUAGCGAACUCUGAUAGAACCUGCAUUUCUGCCAAACCCAACAUUCAAUCAACCCUCUAUGUCAGCCAGUCCAUCUCAUCAUCAUCACUUUCUCCUAAUUCCGUGCUCUAAGUUUCCUGACAAAACUGUUGCCUGUUAACACUGACAUGACUUGAAUUCGUUUGCUGACAAUCCAUACCACAAAAACAUAAUCCACUAUCCCUAGCUUUUUAGUUUUGUAGUUGUAUCCACUCACAAGUUAGCAUUGCUGUCCUCUUCCUCAUUUCAAAUAAUUCACUAUCAUAAUUGUCAGUUAUACCCACUUUAAGCAUCCCAUCAGUUAUUAUUAUUGAAUGGUGCCGUUUGAAUUUUAUAAUAUUUUAGCCCAUUUUGGAGAACCCAUGCUGUGACUUUUUUCAUAACAUUCUUGCGGAUUCUUCUAUAUAAUCAUUAAUUAUUAUGUGAUUUAUGUCCAAUAAUAGUGAGGAAGGAUAAAUAUGUACCUAGGUCUUGAUUCCUAGAUUUCUUCCCCUGCUUCAUGGCUUCUGUAAGCUUCAACCUAUCACUAUGAGCAACCCUUAUCUUUUUUUUUUUUUUUUUUUUUUUUUUUUUCUUCCUGACAGAAAAUUAGAGAAUGAUGGCUGUCUAGUAUUUCCAUCCACUACCUUCCAAUUCCCUCUGGACCAACUCUCACCUAAUACCUUGUGCCUCGUGGAAUUUGUGAAGCGUUACGAGGAUAUUCCAGUUUUGGGACAAAGGCCAUCCGAAUAAAUUGGCAGGAACACUGCUCAUAAUCAGAAUGGAGGCAUUUUUUUUUUCAAUUGAUUUUGAAUAAAACCUAUUUUAUUGGGUCAUAAUGGCUCUGAGACUGCAUUCUGCAGAUGUUCUGUAAUAUUCGAACUCAUAUAAUCACCAUACCCUCAUUUUUCGACCUCAAAAUAACGGCUCUCUUUCUCUCCUCUUUGAAAUGUUUGAACUCAAAUUAAUCACUCAGCAAGUAUCAUAGAGAUUUUGGUCAA